GAUGAACGCUGGCGGCGUGCUUAAUACAUGCAAGUCGAGCGAACGGACGAGAAGCUUGCUUCUCUGAUGUUAGCGGCGGACGGGUGAGUAACACGUGGAUAACCUACCUAUAAGACUGGGAUAACUUCGGGAAACCGUAGCUAAUACCGGAUAAUAUUUUGAACCGCAUGGUUCAAAAGUGAAAGACGGUCUUGCUGUCACUUAUAGAUGGAUCCGCGCUGCAUUAGCUAGUUGGUAAGGUAACGGCUUACCAAGGCAACGAUGCAUAGCCGACCUGAGAGGGUGAUCGGCCAAACUGGAACUGAGACACGGUCCAGACUCCUACGGGAGGCAGCAGUAGGGAAUCUUCCGCAAUGGGCGAAAGCCUGACGGGGCAACGCCGCGUGAGUGAUGAAGGUCUUCCGAUCGUAAAACUCCGUUAUUAGGGAAGGACAUAUGUGUAAGUAACUGUGCACAUCUUGACGGUACCUAAUCAGAAAGCCACGGCUAACUACGUG
rnacentral:rRNA from 1 species